UACCUAGAAAGUUCUGAGUGGAAUGUUUAUUGUUGUGGCUGCUUGGAUCCGCCCAUCUUAAACUCUUCCUCACAGCAACUUUGAAAGAUUGUGGAUUUUAGGCCAGACACAGGACCAAGCCUUUUCAAACUGAGCUCUCAGAGCACUUAUAUAUCCAGAUUAUGACUUUUUAUGAUCUACAACCCUCAAUACAAUGGAUGCCUACACCAGGGAUAAUGACCAACUGUCCACCUGGAUUAGAAUAUUUGGAUCAGAUAAAUCAGUUAAUAGUGUGUCAACGUUUUGAUCUUCUGGAAGGUAUCAGAGGAGCAAUGAUUCCAGAUUCUUUGAGAAUUCUGCUAAUAGAAGCAGAAUACAGUUCUCAGUAAUUUGGAAACUAGUAAAACAUAUGAAAUCAUGAACAAUCAAGGACAGAGAAUUUAUUUUGCAGAAGAGAGAUAUAACUGGUUUCUUCAAUGCCUUUGUGGUUCUUCAAGGCCUUUUACUAUGACAAUUUAUGAUAAUGUAGGUCGGGAUGUAAUUGCUCUUCAUAAAGCUCUAAGAUGUAGCUGUUGCUGGAGUAGCUGCUACCCACAAAAGCUAAAAGUUGAGUCUCCACCUGGUGAAACAAUUGGAUAUGUUUACCAAUACUUUCACCCAUUUUUUCCAAAGUUUAAAAUAAAAAAUGAGAAUAAGGAAGAUAUAAUGAAAAUAAGAGGGCCAUGUGUGCUUUUCUGCUGUCUCACCAAUCUAAAUUUUAAUUUGUUGCCUAUGGAUGAACAAAUGGUUAUUGGAAAGAUUUCAAAGCCCUACCCUGGAUUUGUGAGAAGACUAUUAAGGAAUGGUAAUACGUUUGGGAUCCAGUUUCCAUUUGAUCUUGAUGUUAAAAUGAAAGCGUUGAUACUUGGAGCAAGUUUUCUUAUUGACUAUAUGUAUUUUGAAUUCUGGUCAUAAGAAUUAGUCUGAGAGACUAUGCCAGAGACUACUAGCAUUAAGUUUUGCCAACCCUCAGCAAAAUUAAACAAUUCUUACUGAAAAUAUCUAAAUAAAGUUUUGCUUCCUUAAAA